GGAUAAAUAGUUUAAUUGGAAAAACAUUCAAGGUAAAACCGCAGACACCGUAGUGAAAGCCUACGACGAAAUAGAUAUGAGUUCGAGACUCAUUUUAUCCA
rnacentral:tRNA from 1 species